UCGGUUUGUUUGGAGGACAUGGCGAAGGCGACGAUGUAGAUUACGAUGCAGCCAAAGUAGAAGUCGCCUGCUAUCAGCAUCGUGCUGACGGUCCCGUCGGCAGCUCAAGAUCGAAAGCAAUAGUGAAUUGGUGUUAUGUAGUACUUCAUCUUGCAAUCAUAGUUAAUAAAAUGGAGGAUUUGGAACAACAACAUUCUACAAUGACAUCCAAAGCAUCGUAAGCUCGUCGAUGAAGUCAGCAGUAGGUGACAAUCACUUCCAGAGAAAUGUCAUCAAUUCCAUUGCGAUUGCAUUCACAUCCCAGGCGAGCUGGCCCACAUGGCAGACAUGUUUUUCUCGACCACAUUCAACGAUCUGUGCCUUCGUCUGCUGGCGUGUGGUGAUGGGUGGCGUUGCUCGAUGGUCGAUUUACGGGGAACGGGGUGUCCUUAUCCGGACGCAACGAGGAGCAGUUCGUUUGAUCAGAUGGCCGUGCGGCCAGCGCAGCACAGCGCAGCAGAGCAGAGCAGAGCAGAGGACAUGGGCAGCCGGGCCAGAAUUACCAUAGCGCACACCCAGAAGACGUCGAACGAGUCAACAGAAAGCAAGAUAGAGCCCCGGGUACGGACCCCGGGUACCGGCGACCGGCCACAGGCAAGCGCGUAACAGAGACGGAGCAUGGAUGCGACACAUCCGGCUAGCGGGCGGAGGGGGUUCCGGGGAAAAUUUCCAACACAAAUAUUAGUUCGAUAAACAGAAAUUUCCAAAUAAACUGA